AGUGAACGCUGGCGGUAGGCCUAACACAUGCAAGUCGAACGGCAGCACAGUAAGAGCUUGCUCUUACGGGUGGCGAGUGGCGGACGGGUGAGGAAUACAUCGGAAUCUACUUUUUCGUGGGGGAUAACGUAGGGAAACUUACGCUAAUACCGCAUACGACCUACGGGUGAAAGCAGGGGAUCUUCGGACCUUGCGCGAUUGAAUGAGCCGAGGUCGGAUUAGCUAGUUGGCGGGGUAAAGGCCCACCAAGGCGACGACCCGUAGCUGGUCUGAGAGGAUGAUCAGCCACACUGGGACUGGGACACGGUCCAGACUCCUACGGGAGGCAGCAGUGGGGAAUAUUGGACGAUGGGCGCAAGCCUGAUCCAGCCAUACCGCGUGGGUGAAGAAGGCCUUCGGGUUGUAAAGCCCUUUUGUUGGGAAAGAAAAGCAGCAGGUUAAUACCCCGCUGUUCUGACGGUACCCAAAGAAUAAGCACCGGCUAACUUCGUG
rnacentral:rRNA from 1 species